rnacentral:lncRNA from 1 species
GCAAAACGCAGGUAGUACUGUUCAUUCCACGCGCAGAUAGACGCUCUUGCCCUUUGUUGGAGAUUAUUUACGAUCCUGCCAUUAGUCUCCAUCUGUCGAUGGCCUGUUACACCAUCUGUGCGGUGUGAUACGUGGCUUCCUUAUCCGUCUCCACGAAAUUGUCGGUCUACUUCUGCAUCUUCUUUAACCCAGCAUCUCUUUGUUUAUUGGAGGUUCUCUUUGUUCGUUACCCAAAGACUGCCUCCGCUCUUGCAUCGUUUAGUUCUCUUCGUUGUCUUGAAAGGUGAGGAGAACGUUGGUUCUUCCCAGAAUUUUUUAUCUUUUAUAAUUUGUAUUUUUCGGGUUUCAAAUAGGAGGUGCUCUUGGUGUUUUUGGUUUUUUGGUUGCUCCUUCUUUGCUUUAUCUUGCGUGUUUUUGUUGGUAUUUUUCACAGGUAGAGGUGAUAUCGAGAUCAAGUGUGCCUCUGGGUUUCUUCUGGUAGGUAGGUUAUGUGGAAAAUUUGAGAUUCCCUUCCUAGCUUAGAUUCCUUUGGGUUGUAGUGAAGGGGUUCGAAAUCGAUUUUCUUCAUUGACCUGCAUAUUGUUUGCUUCGGCUAUAGAGGUUGUGUUAUCCCGCUUUCUGUUUCGAUUUUUUUUCCCCUUAUUUUUCCUGCUUUUAUAAUUGUCUUUGCGUUUCAUAAGUACUGAUGCUGCAGUUUGCAAAUAUCCUGCUAUAGAUGCUAUAUUGCUGCAGUUGGAAGGAAUUAGUAGUUUGUAGGAGAUUGCAGGUUAACAAUAAAAUGAAAAGAGAUGAGCAGUAUGUAAAGUUGCCAAUACAUUCAAAUAUUGAAUACAGUACCAAAAUUCUGUUGUGCUUUGUCCAGCAGUGGGUGAUAUCUUUGUACAUUUAUAGGACAAUUGUCCUGUCAAUGGAUUGUUUGCUUUUCUGGAAUCGGACGUGACCUUAUGCUUUGUGGCCUUAUAAUUAACCCCUGUUCCUGCAAACGUAUGUUGGUUGCUGUUUUGUUUAUUUUUUUUGACGUUGCAGGUUAAUUACAUGCCGGUGAAUGUAUUGUAUGGCCUUUUAUGUUGUUAGUUCUAAUCAAUUCGUUUUUGUUCUAAUAUAAUACUUAUGUGAGUGCGUCUCCUUCUUGAUUGUUGACAUUUUUAUGUAUUAGCAUUGUCAUAGUGGUGCCUUAUGAAUUGUUGCAUUUUGUUGCUAGAUUUCCUGAAACCGUUAGUUGUUUCUAUUUUUUUCAGUUUACAAUUUUACAUUUUGGGAAUUCGUUAGCGAGCGUAGUGGCAAUGACUCGAAAGGGAAGGUUUAGAGACGCGCUUCCUUUAUCUGUUGUUACGGAUGAAAGGCGAGUCGCUUUGACAGCGAAUGUGUCCACAAGUGAAGACGCUCCUGGUAUGNNNNNN